CUCACCAGGUCAGGACACGGUAAGGAUUGACGGACUGAAGGCUCUUUCUCGAUUCCGUGGAAAGUGGUGCAUGGCCGUUUUUGGUUGGUGGAUCGAUCCGUCUGGUUAAUUCCGUUAACGAACGAGACCUCGGCACUCCGAAUAGCGCGGCGGACGUCGCGGCCUCCGGGCCGUCUUCCGCACGAGCUUCUUAGAGGGGACCGUCCCCCGCCGGGGAAGGAGGUGCGAGGCAACGACAGGUCUGUGAUGCCCUUAGAUGUUCUGGGCCGCACGCGCAUUACACUGACGCGUCCAACGGGUGACUCCCGACCCGAAGGGGCCGGGGAAUCCGCAAGGCGCGUCGUGAUGGGGAUUGAACGUUGCAAUUGUUGUUCACGAACGAGGAAUUCCUAGUAGGCGCGGGUCAUCAACCCCGCGCCGAUUACGUCCCUGCCCUUUUGUACACACCGCCCG
rnacentral:rRNA from 1 species